rnacentral:rRNA from 1 species
UACGUAGGGUGCAAGCGUUAAUCGGAAUUACUGGGCGUAAAGCGUGCGCAGGCGGUUCUUUAAGUCAGGUGUGAAAUCCCCGGGCUCAACCUGGGAACUGCAUUUGUGACUGUAGAGCUGGAGUACGGUAGAGGGGGAUGGAAUUCCGCGUGUAGCAGUGAAAUGCGUAGAUAUGCGGAGGAACACCGAUGGCGAAGGCAAUCCCCUGGACCUGUACUGACGCUCAUGCACGAAAGCGUGGGGAGCAAACAGG